GUGAGGUCAAGGUGAUUAGUGAGGUUAAGGUGAUUAGUGAGCACUACUAACAGCCUGGUCGUCUCCCCACAGGUCUAACUACCAGUAUGAGGACGAGUCUACCAACAAGAGAAGAAAAAGAGGAUCUAUAUUCUUUAGGAAGAAGAAGGACAAGCCUAAGAAGAGCUCCCAUCAGUUCGUGUCUGUCUGCUACAGUAACUCAGCCACCUGUGACGUGUGUAGCAAGCCUAUGACCAACAAGCCGGCCCUUCGCUGUGAGACGUGUCAGGUGUGUGUGCACAGAACUCUUG